ACGAACGCUGGCGGCGUGCUUAACACAUGCAAGUCGUACGGUAAGGCCCUUUCGGGGGUACACGAGUGGCGAACGGGUGAGUAACACGUGAGUAACCUGCCCACAACUUUGGGAUAACGCUAGGAAACUGGUGCUAAUACUGGAUAUGUGCUCCUGCUGCAUGGUGGGGGUUGGAAAGCUCCGGCGGUUGCGGAUGGACUCGCGGCCUAUCAGCUUGUUGGUGGGGUAGUGGCCUACCAAGGCGGCGACGGGUAGCCGGCCUGAGAGGGUGACCGGCCACAUUGGGACUGAGAUACGGCCCAGACUCCUACGGGAGGCAGCAGUGGGGAAUAUUGCACAAUGGGCGCAAGCCUGAUGCAGCAACGCCGCGUGCGGGAUGACGGCCUUCGGGUUGUAAACCGCUUUCAGCAGGGACGAAGCUUUUUGUGACGGUACCUGCAGAAGAAGCACCGGCUAACUACGUG
rnacentral:rRNA from 1 species